rnacentral:tRNA from 2 species
AGCCCGCUAUCGGAGUCGAACCGAUGACCAUCGCAUUACAAAUGCGGUGCUCUGACCUCU